GGCUCUGUGGUCUAGUGGUAUGAUUCGCGCUUCGGGUUAUCAUUUAAUCCAAUACUUGAUCAACAAGUAUCUUGUGCGAGGUCUCGGGUUCGAUCCCCGACAGAGCCC